rnacentral:sRNA from 1 species
UUCCGAAAACAAUGACAGAUGGGACGGA